rnacentral:rRNA from 1 species
UACGUAGGGGGCAAGCGUUGUCCGGAAUCAUUGGGCGUAAAGAGCGUGUAGGCGGCUUGGUAAGUCCGCUGUGAAAGUCCAGGGCUCAACCCUGGAAUGCCGGUGGAAACUGUCAAGCUUGAGUCCGGAAGAGGCGAGUGGAAUUCCCGGUGUAGCGGUGAAAUGCGCAGAUAUCGGGAAGAACACCCGUGGCGAAGGCGGCACUCUGGGACGGUACUGACGCUGAGACGCGAAAGCGUGGGGAGCGAACAGG